UACGAAGGGGGCUAGCGUUGCUCGGAAUGACUGGGCGUAAAGGGCGCGUAGGCGGUUCAUCCAGUCAGAUGUGAAAUUCCCGGGCUUAACCUGGGGGCUGCAUUUGAUACGUGUGGGCUUGAGUGAGGAAGAGGGUUGUGGAAUUCCCAGUGUAGAGGUGAAAUUCGUAGAUAUUGGGAAGAACACCGGUGGCGAAGGCGGCAACCUGGUCCUUUACUGACGCUGAGGCGCGAAAGUGUGGGGAGCAAACAGG
rnacentral:rRNA from 1 species